UGUCUGUGGAAAGGGGGAGAUGAGGAGGCAGAAAAAGAGAGAAAACGGAACGUACGAUUUGAGAGAGGACUGGCGCUAAGCAGCAAGACGAGAGGGAGAAAAGCGAAGAGGGAAAGACAGGGAGAGAGAAGGAACGGGUGAUGGCCGAAUGGGAAUCAGUUGAAAUCGCGGGAAAAGAAAAAAGGAAAAAAAAAAUGACUAGACUCAUCCGACCUAUGCUGUGAUGCAGCGCUCACCCUGAGUGCUCCUGGACGUGCUCUGAAGGACUCCAUGGCCCCUUCGCGGGAAGACGAACCAACUCUAGCCGGCGGGAGACAGGCCGGCCGUCAGUUUGAGUUCCAAGGAGGUGGCUGUCGGACAUUUUGAGAAUGUUUCGCCGUUAAUCGCCAAGAUGGAUUCAUGAAAAGGUUUCUCACACACAGCCACUCCCAGCUCCUCUCCCCUUUCCGCUUCUCUUCACCUUACA